rnacentral:tRNA from 1 species
GGGGAACUAGCUCAAAUGGUAGAGCGCUCGCUUCGCAUGUGAGAGGCACGGGGAUCGAUACCCCGGUUCUCCA